UACAAUAUGCGGCUAUAAAGGGCGGUCGGCUAGUCUCCCAGAAGGGAGGUGAUGCCCAUGGAGGUCAAAGAUGCUAUCUCCUUAAUGAUCAUGUUUGGUAUGUUCAUUUUGGCGUUACUUACCUACAUGAAAAAGAAAUAGACCGCCCUGACCAAAGGUAAACGGUCUAUUCUCGACCAUAUCUUACGCGGCCGACUGCUCUUUAUGCAGUUAUUGUAUGGUGGAGUCGUGUUAGCGCACGGCUC
rnacentral:sRNA from 1 species